GACGAACGCUGGCGGCGUGCUUAACACAUGCAAGUCGAACGGAAAGGCCCUGCUUGCAGGGUCCUCGAGUGGCGAACGGGUGGGUAACACGUGGGUGAUCUGCCCUGCACUUCGGGAUAAGCCUGGGAAACUGGGUCUAAUACCGGAUAGGAGCCAUUUUUAGUGUGAUGGUUGGAAAGUUUUUUCGGUGUAGGAUGAGCUCGCGGCCUAUCAGCUUGUUGGUGGGGUAAUGGCCUACCAAGGCGGCGACGGGUAGCCGGCCUGAGAGGGUGGACGGCCACAUUGGGACUGAGAUACGGCCCAGACUCCUACGGGAGGCAGCAGUGGGGAAUAUUGCACAAUGGGCGCAAGCCUGAUGCAGCGACGCCGCGUGGGGGAUGACGGCCUUCGGGUUGUAAACUCGUUUCGCUAGGGACGAAGCUUUUUGUGACGGUACCUAGAGAAGAAGCACCGGCUAACUACGUG
rnacentral:rRNA from 1 species